CAGGACGAACGCUGGCGGCGUGCCUAAUACAUGCAAGUCGAGCGCAGGAAGCCGUCUGAACCCUUCGGGGGGACGACGGUGGAAUGAGCGGCGGACGGGUGAGUAACACGUAAAGAACCUGCCCAUAGGUCUGGGAUAACCACGAGAAAUCGGGGCUAAUACCGGAUGUGUCAUCGGACCGCAUGGUCCGCUGAUGAAAGGCGCUUCGGCGUCGCCCAUGGAUGGCUUUGCGGUGCAUUAGCUAGUUGGUGGGGUAACGGCCCACCAAGGCGACGAUGCAUAGCCGACCUGAGAGGGUGAUCGGCCACACUGGGACUGAGACACGGCCCAGACUCCUACGGGAGGCAGCAGUAGGGAAUCUUCCACAAUGGACGAAAGUCUGAUGGAGCAACGCCGCGUGAACGAUGAAGGCUUUCGGGUCGUAAAGUUCUGUUGUAAGGGAAGAACAAGUGCCGCAGGCAAUGGCGGCACCUUGACGGUACCUUGCGAGAAAGCCACGGCUAACUACGUGCCAGCAGCCGCGGUAAUACGUAGGUGGCAAGCGUUGUCCGGAAUUAUUGGGCGUAAAGCGCGCGCAGGCGGCCUCUUAAGUCUGAUGUGAAAGCCCCCGGCUCAACCGGGGAGGGCCAUUGGAAACUGGGAGGCUUGAGUAUAGGAGAGAAGAGUGGAAUUCCACGUGUAGCGGUGAAA
rnacentral:rRNA from 1 species